GUGCAAUAGCAGGCCCCGGAUGCGGUGAAGUCAUCGGUGACGUAUCCUGGCCUGCAGUGCACGC
rnacentral:pre_miRNA from 1 species